GAUGAAGAACGUAGCGAAAUGCGAUAAGUAGUGUGAAUUGCAGAAUUCAGUGAAUCAUCGAAUCUUUGAACGCACCUUGCGCCCUUUGGCCAUUCCGAAGGGCAUGCCUGUUUGAGUAUCAUGAACACCUCAACUCUUCAUGGUUUUCCAUGAUGAGCUUGGACUUUGGGGGUCUUGCUGGCCUGUGGGUCGGCUCCUCUCAAAUGAAUCAGCUUGCCGGUUUUUGGUGGGCAUCACAGGUGUGAUAACUAUCUACGCUUGUGGUUUUCCACCAGGGUAACCUUCAGCAGUGGAGGUUCACUGGAGCUUACAAAUGUCUCUCCUCUGUGAGGACAGCCCUUUGAAUGUUUGAUCUCAAAUCAGGUAGGACUACCCGCUGAACUUAAGCAUAUCAAUAAGCGGAGGA
rnacentral:misc_RNA from 1 species